AGAGUUUGAUCAUGGCUCAGGACGAACGCUGGCGGCGCGCUUAACACAUGCAAGUCGAGCGAGAACCGGGACUUCGGUCCCGGGGAAAGCGGCGAACGGGUGAGUAACACGUGAGUAAUCUGCCCUCAGCACCGGAAUAGCCCGGGGAAACCCGGAUUAAUGCCGGAUAGCCCGCCCUCCCCUCGGGGAGAUCGGAAAAGGUAGCUUUGGCCUCUGGCUGAGGAUGAGCUCGCGGCGGAUUAGCUUGUUGGCGGGGUAAUGGCCCACCAAGGCGACGAUCCGUAGCUGGUCUGAGAGGACGAUCAGCCACACUGGGACUGAGACACGGCCCAGACUCCUACGGGAGGCAGCAGUGGGGAAUCUUGCGCAAUGGGCGAAAGCCUGACGCAGCGACGCCGCGUGCGGGAGGAAGGCCUUCGGGUUGUAAACCGCUUUCAGGAGGGACGAAGCCACUCGGGUUAAUAGCCCAGAGGGUGACGGUACCUCCAGAAGAAGCCCCGGCUAACUACGUGCCAGCCGCCGCGGUAAUAC
rnacentral:rRNA from 1 species